rnacentral:rRNA from 1 species
GUGGGGAAUAUUGGACAAUGGGCGAAAGCCUGAUCCAGCCAUGCCGCGUGUGUGAAGAAGGUCUUCGGAUUGUAAAGCACUUUAAGUUGGGAGGAAGGGCAGUAAGUUAAUACCUUGCUGUUUUGACGUUACCAACAGAAUAAGCACCGGCUAACUUCGUGCCAGCAGCCGCGGUAAUACGAAGGGUGCAAGCGUUAAUCGGAAUUACUGGGCGUAAAGCGCGCGUAGGUGGUUCAGCAAGUUGAAGGUGAAAUCCCCGGGCUCAACCUGGGAACUGCUUUCAAAACUGCUGAGCUAGAGUACGGUAGAGGGUGGUGGAAUUUCCUGUGUAGCGGUGAAAUGCGUAGAUAUAGGAAGGAACACCAGUGGCGAAGGCGACCACCUGGACUGAUACUGACACUGAGGUGCGAAAGCGUGGGGAGCAAACAGGAUUAGAUACCCCAGUAGUCC